rnacentral:rRNA from 1 species
CGGCAGUGGCCCGAGUGGCGGACGGGUGGGUAACGCGUGGGUAACCUGCCCGUGUACAGGGGACAACAGCCGGAAACGGCUGCUAAUACCGCAUAAGCCCGCGGCGCCGCGAUGGCGCUAGCGGGGAAAACUCCGGUGGUACAGGAUGGGCCCGCGUCUGAUUAGCUAGUUGGUGGGGGUAAUGGCCUACCAAGGCAACGAUCAGUAGCCGGCCUGAGAGGGUGAACGGCCACAUUGGGACUGAGACACGGCCCAAACUCCUACGGAAGGCAGCAG